rnacentral:misc_RNA from 1 species
AAAUGCGAUAAGUAAUGUGAAUUGCAGAAUUCAGUGAAUCAUCGAAUCUUUGAACGCACCUUGCGCUCCUUGGUAUUCCUUGGAGCAUGCCUGUUUGAGUAUCAUGAAAUCUUCAAAGUAAAUCUUUUGUUAACUCAAUUGGUUUCUACUUUGGUAUUGGAGGUCUUUGCAGCUUCACACCUGCUCCUCUUUGUUCAUUAGCUGGAUCUCAGUGUUAUGCUUGGUUCCACUCGGCGUGAUAAGUUAUCUAUCGCUGAGGACACUGUAAAAGGUGGCCAAGGUAAAUGCAGAUGAUCCGCUUCUAAUAGUCCAUUGACUUGGACAAUACUUUUAUGAUCUGAUCUCAAAUCAGGUAGGACUACCCGCUGAACUUAAGC